rnacentral:lncRNA from 1 species
CAAGUAGCUUUACAAUGUAUGACUUGUGGAUGAACCUCCGUCACAUCCAAAGACACUUUGGAUGGAUUCCACAAGAUCAAGAUACGACCACCUCCAUGUGUGCCAAAGUUGUUUGCAUGCAAGAAACCGCCAAAUUUAAGAUUCAAAAUUCUAUUCAAUCUCCGAUCAACCAACUUCGUCUCCAAGAUACCCAUAAUAUCAAUACCGUGAAGUUUGAUAAACUCUCGAAUCCCAUUUUGUUUAAGGGGAGGAUUCAUACCCCUUAUAUUCCAAAAUGCGAUCUUCAUGAUGAUGAAGCAAGGGGG